UACAGAGGGGGCAAGCGUUAUUCGGAUUUACUGGGCGUAAAGGGCGCGUAGGCGGCCAGCACAAGUCAGUUGUGAAAUCUCCGAGCUUAACUCGGAAAGGUCAACUGAUACUGUGCGGCUAGAGUGCGGAAGGGGCAACUGGAAUUCUUGGUGUAGCGGUGAAAUGCGUAGAUAUCUGGAGGAAUACCGGUGGCGAAGGCGGCAUCCUGGACCGGCAUUGACGCUGAGGAGCGAAAGCUAGGGGGAGCAAACGGG
rnacentral:rRNA from 1 species